GGGAAGAAAAUAUGAAGAUCAAUGAUGCUGGAAGAUACAUAAGAAAGAUUCUCCCACUAAUUUCAAUGGAAUUAAGGGAAUCACCGCUCCUUCUUCUCCUCCCUCUUUCUAUCUGUUGCAGAAACUAGAAAUACGACAUACACACAGUUAACGCGUUCGUCUUUUUGUUUUAUUCAUAGGGCUAUCUUGAUGUUAAUUUUGGGUUUUUGUUGAACAUAAUUAUGAUAUGUGUUCUUGAUGUCAACUGGCAUUCACUCCGUACCUCAAGAACAUCUAACACCAUUUUCCAAAUACCAUUUUUUAUGGUAUCAACAGAUGAAGAUAAACAAAAAAGAGAAUAAAAAAGGAGUCGAUUUGCAUCAGGUAACAAUUCAAUCUUCAAAUAUGUUUCAUGCUUGAUUUUUGUUUAGCGAUGCAAGUAAUAUGAUAGUUAAAUAUAUCUCUUUUUUGUAUUUGCUUUUAGUUGUAGAAACGAUAGAAUAGACAAAGAAGUUUUCGUCAAAAGAUAUUAGGUGAGUUAUCCAGAGUUCAGAUUGAUUGAGUAGUUGGUAAAAUAAUAUAAAAAAGUGGUCAACAUUUAUCCGUAUGAUCAUAAAAAAUAGAAGUGGUCAAAUAAUUUUAUAAUUUUGCCUCUAAAAUAAAAUGGAAAUUUUCUUUUGGACUAAAAAAGAGUAUCGAAAAACUCCCAAAAUAAGACGCUCAACACUCAGAUGAACACGCUCAUUAAAAAAACUAAAAAAAUGCUUUUAUUUUUUACUGAAUUUUUAAUAUAUUUUUCCUAUUUUAUGUAGAUACCAACCAGUUUCUUUCAUGUUGAUCCUCAUCCUAGAAACCUUGCAAUUGGCCCUUUUACACUUCUUUUUUAGGGCGUUUUAUUUUCAUUUUUUUGUAAAAUCUUUUAACUUUUGCAUUAUAGGAGUAUUGAUUAUGGACUGCACAUCUAUACAGAUUAUUCUAACUUCUUGACAGCUCAAUAUGAAGUCACCUUAUAGGAAUUCGACAUUCAAAAAGCUUUUUAACUUGCCACCAAAUGAAUUUCUCAUCGGUGAUUUUGUCAUGCUCUCCAUGAGAAAAUUAGCCCUUCAGGUAUACUCGGACAGUUGGAUUUGAUUAGGGACUGCACAUUUACAUGAACCGGUUCCUUAUUAUAGUUUCCAAUUUCAUUUUUGAAGAGUAAACUCUUCCUAUAUUCAAGAACUGUUGAGUUUUAUGCCAACUUAUUAGUACACAAAACAAGGUUUUCAUUGCAACUGUUUUUUAUUCUUUUAUUUGUUCUUUUAGUGUAUGAUACAAAAUUAGAUGAGUUAGACCAAUGUUAUGAGCUAUC